GGUGAACGCUGGCGGCAUGUUUAACACAUGCAAGUCGGACGGGAAGUGGUGUUUCCAGUGGCGGACGGGUGAGUAACGCGUGAGAACCUGCCCUUGGGAGGGGAACAACAGCUGGAAACGGCUGCUAAUACGCCAUAGGCUGAGGAGCAAAAGGAGGAAUCCGCCCAAGGAGGGGCUCGCGUCUGAUUAGUUAGUUGGUGAGGCAAUGGCUUAUCAAGGCGACGAUCAGUAGCUGGUCCGAGAGGAUGAUCAGCCCCACUGGGACUGAGACACGGCCCAGACUCCGACGGGAGGCCGCCCCAGGCACCAUCGGACAACAGGAGGAAGGAUGAUCCAGCAAUAGGCGAUGGCCGGAGAAGGCCUUCCCGCUGUAAAGCACUUUUGUCGCGAAUGAAAAGCAGCAGGUCACGACCAAGAUAAUAUGACGGUACCUAAAGAAUAAGCACCGGCUAACUCCGUG
rnacentral:rRNA from 1 species